UGCCAAACCCUUCCUCAAAAUCAAAUUACU
rnacentral:piRNA from 1 species